GGGGGGACAGGAAAGGUGGGGAGGGACUCUGGAUCAGGGUGUGUAGGGAUAGGAUAAGGGGUAAUGUUUUUAAACUGAAAGAGGGCAGAUUUAGUUUA